rnacentral:lncRNA from 1 species
AAUUUUAUUAAGGCUCAUAUAUAUCUAAUUUAUGCCUUAACCCUAAAACAUUUCCUACCCCUCACAAACCCCAAUCCUCAUUUCACAGUCCUCUCUCUCUAACAAUUUCUUCGCCGCCUUCUUUUCCUCCCGAGGAAGAUGACCGCGGUGAAGACGUUGAGCAUGACGAUGUCAUCUCUCCGAACUUGGCUGCUCUAUAUAUCCUCGUUCUCUUUCUCCUCUAUUUUUCUUUGUUGUCUCCCCUCUUUUCUUUUCUUCGAUAGCAGUGCCUACAACUUUGCGGUUGACGAGCUUCACGCCCUACAUCCUUAGAAAAUUUUGGAUAGUGUGUAAUUGAGGGAAUUGUUGCUUCACAGCAGUCUCUUGAUUACUUGGUAAUUAAGGGAAAACUUUUGUAUGCAAUUUGAUUUUGAAAUGCUUAUUCAAUUUUUUUUAAUUUCCUGUGUUAGGUCCCGGCGGUCUCGAAUAGGUGUAUGGGGGGGAAUACACCUAUGGGCUAUUUUUACAAAUUCCUCAAUCAGAGGGAUCUCAAGAUAGAGAUCUAAACGAAACUUUACACGCAAACAAAGACACCUGUUGACUGAAAACAGUUUUGACCAAACAGGGUUGACGACUGAUACUGAAAGCUCUUCAGUAAGGAGUUAUCAGUUAAGUUACUGGAACUUAACUGAUGCACUUAUGGGCUUCAGUCGAGUUUGCUAAAACAGAGAUGAUAACACUCUUCCUGAUUAUCAAAGAUAGAUCAGUCAGACUAAUAUCAUACGCAGCGGAAAUUAAACUUAGUUUCGCAAUAGCCUCGGUUGAGCACGUUGUUGGUCUUAGGUUUCUCUUUGCCGUUAAUCAGUAUUUAGUUUAUCAAUUAAAGCAACACAAGUAGGAAUGUAAAACUGAAAGCUGUAAACAACACAGAGACUUUUACGUGGUUCGGAAAAACCCUUUCCUACAUCCACGGUCGGUUGAUCAGACCAACAAUCCACUCCGCAAGUGCUUAACAGGUGCACUGCAAACCAAACCGUGUGCUUGCCGGGUGCACACAACCAUACCACUGAAGAAAACCCUUCUUCAGUACCCACACUUCACUCGUGUCGGAUUUCUCUUGCUUAGCACAACCCACGCUAAGACUCUCAGAGUCAGAAAACCCUUCUGAACUCCGAAUCACUCAAAACACUCAAAUCUUUCUUUUGGAAAGGAGGUUUGAACGAGUGCCAACUAUACUGCUGUAACACCCCAAUUUUCAUAAACUUUGCAUUCCAAAAUUUUAAGAACUAAUAGAUAAAAUAAAACUUCUUGACUAUUAAAAUUUAAACUAAUUUAAAAAUCAAUUUGCCAAAACUAAAAUAGUAACAUAAAAUGAAAUAAAAAUAAACGAUAAACUAAGACUUAACAAAUUCAACUUAAAUUUUCUAUGCAAAAUCUUUAUCUCUAGUCAUUCUCGACUUCCAUGGCCACCUCAACUCCAUAACUGCAAAACUGAGAAGAUAAGGGGUGAGCAUAUUGAAAAUAUACUCAGUGAGAAACCAUGCAAAUAUUCACAUACGCUUAAACAUGCAAAUAGUAAUUCACAUUGUCAUACACAUAUACUGAUAAUCUGAUGGGCGAACUGAGAGCCCCUGAACAUGUAUUUCAACAUGGCUAAAUUUCUGAACAUGUAUUUCUACAUGGCUGAACAUGUAUUUCAACAUGGCUGAUAUUCUGAACAUGUAUUUCUACAUGGCUGAACAUGUAUUUCAACAUGACUGAUUUUCUGAACAUGUAUUUCUACAUGGCUGAGCAAGUAUAAUCAAACAUGAACUAAGAGCAUAUAAAAACAUACAUGAAUAUAACCACAAGCAUAUAAUCCAUCACCUUAAUCUAAUUGCUUUGAAAAUAUCUUGAUGAAUUCUAAAUACGUUUAAUCCAGAAACAAUUUCUUACUCCAGCCAACCUUUCAAGCUACGAACUGGGAAACAAAAAUAUAGCUCUAUGCGAAAACAAGAAAAAAUACAUAUACUAAAUUCUUUCUUUGAAAUCAGC